rnacentral:lncRNA from 10 species
UUGCACUUCCGUCUUCCGGGCGGAGGCCACCCGGGGCGGACGCAUUGCACGCCGGGAGACAAAAUGUCUCAAGAAGCCUUGAGAGGCGGGAUUUUGGAACCCGGGCGCUGACGAGCUUCCGCCAUUGGUGUGAUCGCGGACCUAGAAACUUGGUCCGUCCCAUACAGGUGUAGAAGUCGGAUUUGGAGAAUGCUGACGGGUGUCCGGUCAAGGUUAGGCCCCAGGCUGCCGAGUGCCUGCGAUUGCAGGCACGCGCCGCCACACCUGACUGGUCUUGGUGGAGACGGGGUUUCGCUGUGUUGGCCGGGCCGGUCUCCAGCCCCUGACCGCGAGUGAUCCGCCAGCCUUGGCCUCCCGAGGUGCCAGGAUUGCAGACGGAGUCUCGUUCACUCAGUGCUCAAUGGUGCCCAGACUGGAGUGCAGUGGCGUGAUCUCGGCUCGCUACGGCCUACACCUCCCAGCCGCCUGCCUUGGCCUCCCACGGUGCCGAGAUUGCAGCCUCUGCCCGGCCGCCACCCCGUCUGGGAAGUGAGGAGCGUCUCUGCCUGGCUGCCCAUCGUCUGGGAUGUGAGGAGCCUCUCUGCCUGGCUGCCCAGUCUGGAAAGUGAGGAGCGUCUGCGCCC